UACGGAGGGUGCAAGCGUUAUCCGGAUUCACUGGGUUUAAAGGGUGCGUAGGCGGGUUGGUAAGUCCGUGGUGAAAUCUCCAAGCUUAACUUGGAAACUGCCGUGGAUACUAUCAAUCUUGAAUAUCGUGGAGGUAAGCGGAAUAUGUCAUGUAGCGGUGAAAUGCUUAGAUAUGACAUAGAACACCAAUGGCGUAGGCAGCUUACUGGACGAGCAUUGACGCUGAGGCACGAAGGCGUGGGGAGCGAACGGG
rnacentral:rRNA from 1 species